CCUACGGGAGGCAGCAGUGAGGAAUAUUGGUCAAUGGCCGGAAGGCUGAACCAGCCAUGCCGCGUGAAGGUCAGUGCCCUAUGGGCGUUAAACUUCUUUUGUGCGGGAGCAAUAAUGGUCACGUGUGGCCAGACGAGAGUACCGUACGAAUAAGCAUCGGCUAACUCCGUGCCAGCAGCCGCGGUAAGACGGGGGAUGCAAGCGUUAUCCGGAUUUAUUGGGUGUAAAGGGUGCGUAGGCUGUGAGGUAAGUCAGAGUUGAAAUGCCCACGCUCAACGGGGUGAAGUGCCAUUGAUACUGUCUGGCUGGAAUGCGGAUGACGUGGGAGGAAUGUGUGGUGUAGCGGUGAAAUGCAUAGAUAUCACACAGAACACCGAUUGCGAAGGCAGCUAACGAAUCCGCGAUUGACGCUGAUGCACGAAAGCGUGGGUAUCAAACAGGAUUAGAUACCCUUGUAGUC
rnacentral:rRNA from 1 species